AUGCCGAGGCGCUGCCGUACAGCGGGCAACCCUUCGGCACGCUGUCCGGCGGCGUGUGCAAGGAGUCGAGCGCCGGAGCUGGAUCUGACAGUCGCCAGGCGAGGGCUCCUGUGUGCUGCUGUGUGUGCGUCUGUGUGCGACUGUGCGCGGCUGUGCACGAUUGUGCAUGGCUGCGUGCAGCUCUCCCCGCCUUUCCAGGAGCCCUCGGACCAGGGGCAGGAGGAGCUGGAGGAAGCGGGAGGCUGCUCAGCCGAUCGGGAGGAGCGGCCGCCUCGCGCUCGGCCGUCCCGGGGUGCAGCGUGGUGGUGGGGAGCUGAGAGACGGCCGCAUUUGCAGGGAAGGACGGAGCUGGCGAGGGCUUCCCCACCUUCGGGGGCCGUUUGCCCUUCUCCUCCCAUUUCCCUGUUGUCCCAGUCCGCGGUGUCCCCGUCCCCUGCGUCCCCAUCAGCCCUGCCUCCUCCCUCGGUGCUGGCCGCGCUCCGGGAGCUCCCGUGGGGCGCGGGAGAUGCGGGAUGCCCUCCUUGCGUGUCCCGUGCCGGCGGCUUGGUGUCCCCCCGCCUAGGAAAACCCCGCUGGGCCGAGCCUCUGGCCGCCCCCCCGCAGCGUCCCCGCGUGUGGCAGCACUGCGGUGGCAGCCGGGGAGCCCUGAGGUCGUCCUGCCCGGCUGGGACACGGGGACCCUGCAGGGACCCCGCCGCAGCCCCCCGCUCCCCCCGGGUACGAGCAGGAGGUCCGAGCGCCCAGAUCCCCCUUGGGCGAUGCUCAACGCGUCGCUGGGCUGGAGCCCGGGUCCUUCCCAAAAGGAGGGCGGUGGUGCUGCGCGUGCCCGGCCGGAGCAGGGGACGGAGGCGGGGGGACGUGGGGACCCCUCCCCAAGGCUGCGGGCUGGCAGGAGGGGACGGGCCAGCCCGGGGCACAACGAGCUCGGCCCCGUCUCCAUCCGCAUGUCUGGGGGCAGCAUCCUUGCAGGACGCGGGAGCACCCGGGGGGGGGGGGGUUAGCGCUGCUCCCGGAGCAGGAUUUGGGCACGGCGUGUCCCCAGGGCCACGGCAGCAGCAGGGCUACAUGCGUUUACGGGUGACAUCCUUUAUUGACAGACCAGCGUCCCUUCCCCUCCCGGCCGCCCCGGGCUGCUCGCAGCUGUCCGGCUGCUGUCAGAGACGAGCUGGGACACCGGCUGAUCCUGAUCCCGAUCCCGACCCCAUGCAAGGAGCUCCGGGCUGGCGAGGGGCCGAGACGCUGGCAGCCGCAAGCAGACAGCGGAGACACCGACACCAGCGAAUCUUCGGCAACGAAGCUCUGGUCAUCGGCCGGUUGCCUCCAGGGAAGACCAGAACGUGGGGAAAAGCAACGGGAAAGUCUCCUAGGGCUUCACGGGCAGGAAAUCACAGGGAAGGCAGCAAAAAGCAUCCUAGGAAGGAGCGAGCGUCAUCUCUGGUUCAGCCUUGGGUGACGAGUGGGACAUUCCCGCGUUGGACCUUGGGAGCUGCGGUCCCGAGAGCGCCGGGAGCAUCUCCUGGCCGGGCCAAGCCGGGAGCGAGCAGAAACGCCACAUGGGAUGGGCUGAGCCGGUGGGCUGAGCGCCAGGGCUGCGGCGGGAGACGCCUCCAGCCGGCACGUGGCCUCCGGGAACCGCUCGGGGCCUCAGGAGAGACCCAUGGGUGUAAGUGA
ensembl:lncRNA